UACGAAGGGGGCUAGCGUUGCUCGGAAUCACUGGGCGUAAAGGGCGCGUAGGCGGCGUUUUUAAGUCGGGGGUGAAAGCCUGUGGCUCAACCACAGAAUGGCCUUCGAUACUGGGACGCUUGAGUAUGGUAGAGGUUGGUGGAACUGCGAGUGUAGAGGUGAAAUUCGUAGAUAUUCGCAAGAACACCGGUGGCGAAGGCGGUUCACUGGGAAUAUCC
rnacentral:rRNA from 1 species